rnacentral:rRNA from 1 species
GUGCCAGCCGCCGCGGUAAUACCGGCAGUUCGAGUGAUGGUCGAUAUUAUUGGGCCUAAAGCGUUCGUAGCUGGCCAGUCAAGUCUGUUGGGAAAUCCACCCGCCCAACGGGUGGGCGUCCGGUAGAAACUGGCCGGCUUGGAACCGGAAGGCUCAGAGAGUACGUCCGGGGUAGGAGUGAAAUCCCGUAAUCCCGGACGGACUACCGAUGGCGAAAGCACUCUGAGAAGACGGCUUCGACAGUGAGGGACGAAAGCUCGGGUCUCAAACCGGAUUAGAUACCCCGGUAGUCC